GAUGAACGCUGGCGGCGUGCCUAAUACAUGCAAGUCGAGCGAACAGACGAGGAGCUUGCUCCUCUGACGUUAGCGGCGGACGGGUGAGUAACACGUGGAUAACCUACCUAUAAGACUGGGAUAACUUCGGGAAACCGGAGCUAAUACCGGAUAAUAUAUUGAACCGCAUGGUUCAAUAGUGAAAGACGGUUUUGCUGUCACUUAUAGAUGGUCCGCGCCGCAUUAGCUAGUUGGUAAGGUAACGGCUUACCAAGGCAACGAUGCGUAGCCGACCUGAGAGGGUGAUCGGCCACACUGGAACUGAGACACGGUCCAGACUCCUACGGGAGGCAGCAGUAGGGAAUCUUCCGCAAUGGGCGAAAGCCUGACGGAGCAACGCCGCGUGAGUGAUGAAGGUCUUCGGAUCGUAAAACUCUGUUAUUAGGGAAGAACAAAUGUGUAAGUAACUAUGCACGUCUUGACGGUACCUAAUCAGAAAGCCACGGCUAACUACGUG
rnacentral:rRNA from 1 species